rnacentral:tRNA from 1 species
UUGGUCAAGUGGUUAAGACACCGCCCUUUCACGGCGGUAACAUGGGUUCAAAUCCCGUACGGGUCA